rnacentral:pre_miRNA from 1 species
GGCACGGCCCCUGCCCGAGGCUCUUUUCACAUUGUGCUACUGAGCCCAACCCAAGCAGUGCAAUGUAAAAAGGGCAUUGGGUUGGUGGCCACAG